GCUCGUGUUGUGAAAUGUUGGGUUAAGUCCCGCAACGAGCGCAACCCUUAUCCUUUGUUGCCAGCGAUUCGGUCGGGAACUCAAAGGAGACUGCCGGUGAUAAACCGGAGGAAGGUGGGGAUGACGUCAAGUCAUCAUGGCCCUUACGAGUAGGGCUACACACGUGCUACAAUGGCGCAUACAAAGAGAAGCGACCUCGCGAGAGCAAGCGGACCUCACAAAGUGCGUCGUAGUCCGGAUCGGAGUCUGCAACUCGACUCCGUGAAGUCGGAAUCGCUAGUAAUCGUGGAUCAGAAUGCCACGGUGAAUACGUUCCCGGGCCUU
rnacentral:rRNA from 1 species